rnacentral:lncRNA from 1 species
CCAAUUUCAUCGACACCACAAAGGUUGAGACAACUCCAAAAACCACCACUGUCGCCGCCGUACUCCGGUUGCUAUAGGUUGGAAAGUGAAGUCCUAUGAUGUGCCCACAAAGGAUUAACCACAAAGGUCAAAGUAAAGUAUAUCAAGAAGCUGAGAAGAGAGUCUCACAAAGAGAAGAGAAAAAUAGGCACACACCAUGGAGGCCGAGAGGAAGGUGGGAUUAUAUGCCAAGUAAAUGUCCAAAAUAGGUAAGUUAGGUUAGGGUUAAAUUGUGGACCAAAACAAGGCUCGACUCAAUUAAAGUGAGAUUCAAAAUAAUAAUAUAGCCUUCCAAGGAAAUGGGGCGAUCGUGAGCAACACUAUUUAAAAUAGGUUGCUUCGAACGGUCCAUAAAAAUGUGGAUUGUGUUGUCUCGAUAAUUGUGUCGAUGUACUAGUCAAUCAUAUGGCCAAGGCCGAUUGAUAAUAAAAACCAAGGUUACAUCAUCGCCCGAGGAGGUCGUUUGACAACAAAUUGCCUAACAUUCUUCAAUUUAAUCAGAUAUUUAUCCAUAGAUCUGUGAGUGAAAAAAUAUAAAUAUUUUUAAGUAUUUAUAAAUUAAGUAUAUUAUUGAAAUAUGUGCAAUUAUGUGUUCGAUUAUAUGAUUAUUAUGGAAAUCUCUUUUAUUAUGAUACAUGUGGAAUUUCAAGGAUUAUUUAUUGUACGUUUGUGACAUGGUAUAUGAGACAUGUGAUAUUGAGAUUUGUUUGGUAUGUGAGACGUGAUAUUGAGAUUGACCAGAAAAGUAUUCGUGAUUAUGUACUUCUUCUAGUUCCCAGAUGGGUUUUGGCCGUAUUCUAUCCUACACGGAGGGUCUUGACCGGAUAUUGGUCUCGACCAUGUACAUAUAGUUCACAGAGGGGCAUUGGCCGUGUUUUAGAAUUGAUUACCAGAGGUUUUUGAGACCGACUUUCGUUUACGGAGGGGGCCAAAGGCCCGUGGCGAAAGUACUUAGCCCUAGGGGCGGAUUACAGAUUUUAGUCAGAGGGUACAUUUUUUGUGGAUCAUAUGUGAUGUGAUGAAAUGAUGGUAUAGAUAUCAGCUGAUGACUAUAUCGUGAUUAAGAGAUGAUAUUUACAGUGUUUUGAGAAUGUCUCACUUUUUGUUUAUAAUUGUAUGAGGCUAUCAUAUGAAAUAUUAAAUGAAAUGAACUUGAUGUUUGAUAAAAAUGCUUAAAGGAGAAAGUAUGAUUAUUUUUGAACUAUUCCACUCACAAGGCUGUUAACUCAUAUUUUUCUAAAAUUAUUCUUCCAAGUAAUAUUGGUCCUUGAUAGCUUGAGGAGCUUGGUGAUUUCAGAGUUAGAGCCACACGACAUAUUGAAUUAUAUGAGUCAAUUCGAUAAACCACAAAGUAAAUUUUGGGCCCAUCGCAUUAUGAUUUUAUAAACAUUUGAUUUUGUUGCUUUUUUUUUUUUUUAAAUAACUCAUAGUCAGCUUUGGUGACAGAUUUGACAUCUAGUCAGCAUCUAUCAUCGGCGCACGUCACGUUUCGGGUCCACUAGUGUGAUUUGAGACGGGUCGUGUCAAAUAACUUGUCACUUCUCUUGAUAGAAAAAAAAAUAAAAAUAAAAAGAAACUGUAUUUUGGUCCUCUCACAUCUAUAUAGCUAUCAGAUUUUUUCCUCUCCUUUCUAUUCACGAAAUUGUUCUUUCCAUAUUACUGUGGCAUCGUUCCUUUCUUGAGUAACAUGAAAGAUCUUCCUUGUCGAUAAUAGAAGGUUUUAUCUGUCUAUUUUUCCUCUAUUUUGUUUUUUAUUGUUUGGUCUUUCCCUUUAACAUGUCAUCUAUCUAAUUCUUUGCUUAUAUAUUUGGCAGGUAAAGCUUAACAAUAUGUUGUACCACACAUCUAGAAUAAACUGCUUGGCUUGGUCACCUACUAACAACAUGGUAGCCACGGGAUCACUUGACACAUGCGUUAUUAUAUACGAAAUAAAAAAGCCAGCAUCAAGUCGAAUAACUGUCAAAGGAGCUCAUUUGGGUGGAGUCUAUGGGUUGGAAUUUACUGAUGAAUACAAUGUGGUGAGUUCGGGCGAGGAUGCUUUUGUACGUUUAUGGAGAAUAACGCCGCAAUAAUGUACAAGGUUCGUUACCCUUGAGUUAUUUGCAUUUGGCUUCCUUAAAGUUGAAAAAGAGACAAACAUUCAUGGAUGAAAAAUUUGGUUGCCUUGAGGUCUUGACAGUUUUUUAAGAGACUUGUCUUUUGCCAUCCUUUUAUAGUUUGCUAACGACGGACAUCAUUGCAGCCCAAAAACGUGCACAUAAGGUUUGCUUGAAGAUAAUCAUUAUGUCACAAUAUGUGUAAAUCCAUCGCAUCCUGCCAAUUUGCUGCAUUGUACGAGUUAAGAUAUUAACUUGGCACAUAACUUGUCUAGUUUUUUAUUUUUGUUUUUUGAUGUGUGUGCAGAACUUUGUACUUAUUCAUGUUUAUGUUUCAGCGUCCUUUCGAUUUUGGUUUUGUAAUUAGUUAAUGAGAAUGAUGCAAGCGUGUUACUAUUAUUGUUCAUGAGUUGCUUUGUUUUUAAUAAUAUGCAAGAGGC